rnacentral:rRNA from 1 species
UACGGGGGGAGCAAGCGUUGUUCGGAUUUACUGGGCGUAAAGGGCGCGUAGGCGGCCUCCGCAAGUCAGUUGUGAAAUCUCCGAGCUUAACUCGGAAAGGUCAGCUGAUACUGCGGGGCUAGAGUGCGGAAGGGGCAACUGGAAUUCUUGGUGUAGCGGUGAAAUGCGUAGAUAUCAAGAGGAACACCUGCGGCGAAGGCGGGUUGCUGGGCCGACACUGACGCUGAGGCGCGAAAGCUAGGGGAGCGAACGGG